GCUCCGGAUACAAGUUGAUUCUUUGCUUUGGAAUCCCGGGAGCUCCUGUAACACACCCGGAGCAGGUCCAUGAGCACUGAUAGCUGAUAAGGGCUUAACUUUCGUUGCUACAGUUAAUCCUAGUGGGGCAGUUUAGUUAAGUAACCUCUUUUCGUCUGUCGUUUAUUGGCUAUUUUGCUUGUACAAGAAAACAUCCAAGGAACUCUUAAAGAGGGAAUUUAACCUUACAACAUCACCCAGCAUCAGCUGGCCUCACUGUGAAGAGUCAAUUCUAAAGGGGCAACACUUUGACAUUUCUUAUUUCUAAUAAAAAAAAAAAACUGUAACAUCCUCUAACAUAUUUGUAACAAGUUAUCACGUACCCUUACAAGUGCCUUAUCUUCUGUGACAAUAUAGUAAUAAAAUAUAAUUUUUCCUCAUAGGCUUAAA